UAUUAUUUAUAUUAGCUUUAAUUUAUACCUUUGUGAAUUUAUUUGUUGUGUAAAUUUUAUAUUGCAUAUUAUAGGCAUAGGUAGCGGUUGGCCAGCAGUUCACCGACUUAGCCGUUAAGAAGAUGACACACCGAAAGUAAAAUGUAUACAACGACCGAUAGAACGCGUUCUUAGGUGUUUUCAAGAAACGCAAGCACGCGAGCGCAUACGUCUACACGCCUAUCAUUCGUAGCCGGCGACCGCGCGCUGUUAAUAAUGUUUAUUAUGUGAUGGACUUUCAAGUGUCAGUGCCUAGUACAUCAGAUGAACAAAUCAUUACAAAAUGCAAGUCUCCAAGUGAAACAAUAAAUAAUGUUAAUAAUGUGAUGGACUUUCAAGUGUUAGUGCCCAG